rnacentral:rRNA from 1 species
UACGGAGGGGGCGAGCGUUAUUCGGAAUUACUGGGCGUAAAGCGCGCGUAGGCGGCUUUGUAAGUUAGAGGUGAAAGCCCGGGGCUCAACCCCGGAACUGCCUUUAAAACUGCAUCGCUUGAAUCCGGGAGAGGUGAGUGGAAUUCCGAGUGUAGAGGUGAAAUUCGUAGAUAUUCGGAAGAACACCAGUGGCGAAGGCGGCUCACUGGACCGGCAUUGACGCUGAGGUGCGAAAGCGUGGGGAGCAAACCGG